AACCAUCCCUUCCCCAUCCCCCAUCCCCACCAUCUGUAUAAAAAUACUACAUAAUGAUAAAGCUAAAAUAUAUUUAUUUGAAUGUUGUACAAUAGGCCUACAUACAGGAAAAUGCCACAACUACCUUUUGUGAGACAGAUGUGUGUAAAGAUGCCACAUUCAUCUCUUAAAGAUGUUUUAUAAGUAAAAAAAAUAAGAUCUUUGCUCUUGAUUUCUUUAUGUAUAAUUUCUUCUUUCCUUGAAAGAGCAACUGUAUUAACAUUUUCUAAUAACAAUUCAUCUGGCACUUCAGUUUGCAAAAUGCUUCCAUACACAUGAUCUUACUUUGUCUAAGAAGAAGCCAAGUUCAUCAUCAAGGAUGUGGUAAUUCACUAGGUUGGUAGAAAGAAAG
rnacentral:lncRNA from 1 species